GAUGAACGCUGGCGGCGUGCCUAAUACAUGCAAGUCGAACGACCAGACGAUGAGCUUUUUCCCUUACCGUUAGCGGCUGGCGGGCGGGUAACGCGUGCAUCGCCAUCUUCUUAUACUGGGGUGAUUACGGGAAAACGGUGCCGCUACUACCUCAUAUAUUCUACCGCUUGAUUCAAUGGUUCUUGACGGCUUUCCUGAUUGUUUUAGCUGGAUCCGGGUCGGAUUAGCUAGUUGGUAAGGUAACGGCCUACCAAGGCAACGAUGCGUAGCCGAUCUGAGAGGGUGAUCAGCCACACUGGAACUGAGACACGGUCCAGACUCCUACGGGAGGCAGCAGUGGGGAAUCUUCGGCAAUGGGCGCAAGCCUGAUGCAGCAAUGCCGCGUGAGUGAAGAAGGCCUUCGGGUCGUAAAACUCUGUUAUUGGGGAAGAAAAGAUGUGGAAGUAAACACGGACGUCUUGACGGUACCUAAAGAGAAAGCAACGGCUAACUACGUG
rnacentral:rRNA from 1 species